GUGACAUCUUGCGGCCCUUGGCCAGCCAUGCCCUAUUGCCAUUUGCUUGACUGUGAGGGACCCUGUGCCUUACUUUAGCAUUAAGUACUCUCCUCUGUGGGUCACAGUUAGAGUCCAACUUUGCUCCUGCCUUAGUGGUCUGUUGAGACCCCCUCCACCCCAUGGCUUUUUUGCCCUGCCCAAACAUGCCUGCUGUUCAGAUACUGUUAGGUAGGCUGCAUCGUGGGCUUUCUGGUAGGCUCCUCAUGGGCAGGUCUUUUUGUGCUUACGGAGUAAUGGCAAGUGUCCCUCACCCAGUGACUGGAAAAAUCACCCACUCAGCCACAUGGCAUUGUAAAAAUAGUGAUGUAAUGCCAAAGAUCCAGUGAUUUGGUUUCAGCCAGGUUUUUAGUUCAAGUAUGGAAACUGAGCUUGUGUGAACUCUUCUCAUGUCUUCCCUCAAUCCUUGGCAAAAUGUAGAAUAUCAUUGUCAUCGUUAGAACAUGCCUUGUAAAAAGAAGGGAAAGUAAGUCCUGGAGCAUCACCGUGGUGAGCACCUCUAGGUGCUUUUGCUUUUGUUUCCAUGUGGCCAUCAUGUAUCUGUAGGGUCUGUCUUGUACAGUCCAGGGGUUUUGAAUCCCAUGGUGCCUUAAGCCCCUCAUACUCUGGAAGUCUACUAGGAACUGAACCACCAUCUUAAUUAAAUACCCUGGAGGAGUGACAUUUCAUAUUCUGGCCAUGAGUGAUGUGGAAUUUCCCUGAGCGCCAGCCCUGACAAUUUGAUGACAGUUAGGGAUAUCCUUACAAGCCCUAAGAAGACCACUGACCCUGAACAGUAUAACUGGGAACUGGCCAACCGCAAGAUUUGUCACCCAUGAUUAAGGCUCUCUGCUUAGCAUACCCAGUGGUUAUUAGGAGCAUCUUUAUUUGAAUACUGUUCAGAUCGUGAAUGAUUCUUGAAGAUUCCUAUUUGCAGAGGAAGCGUAGACUGGACAACCUGUCUGUGUUGAAGUAUACAGCAUUCUUGUGCCAUCCUAAGGGAACAUGGCCCAAUAAGCUCUGCCUCAGGACAUUUGCUAUUCAACUCAAAGUCAAAAAAAAA
rnacentral:lncRNA from 1 species